CCUACGGGAGGCAGCAGUGAGGAAUAUUGGUCAAUGGCCGAGAGGCUGAACCAGCCAAGUCGCGUGAGGGAUGACGGCCCUACGGGUUGUAAACCUCUUUUGUCGGGGAGCAAAGAGCGUCACGUGUGACUCAUUGAGAGUACCCGAAGAAAAAGCAUCGGCUAACUCCGUGCCAGCAGCCGCGGUAAUACGGAGGAUGCGAGCGUUAUCCGGAUUUAUUGGGUUUAAAGGGUGCGCAGGCGGAGGGUCAAGUCAGCGGUCAAAUUGCGGGGCUCAACCCCGUACUGCCGUUGAAACUGCAUCCC
rnacentral:rRNA from 1 species